UCUACGGGAGAAGAAAAAGUAUGGAUACCAUCAAAAAUAAUAAAGAUUUGUUUUGAAAAGGAGAAACCCAUUGAAACAAUGAAUUGACAGCUCAUCCACAACAGUGACAACCAUUCAGGUUGGGUAAGGAAAGACAUAUAGGGUUGGGGCAGGGUUCUGUUCUUAUCUUUGCAGGAAAAUUACACAUCAUCAAAAAUCCAAGCGACCCUGGAUGUUUGAAUGCUGACAGAAUGAAAAAUAACUAUCCACUAAGGAUCAUCUAGAAAACAGAAUAUGGAUUAUGUAUAAAGUAAUCUUUGAAGUUUCCAAGAAGAAGAUGGGGCCCCACAGCAACUGCUCUACCUAGUUGAGAUGACACCGUGAUGCAGACAGCGCUACUACAAGACUGUUUUGGGUACCGGCUGCUGAAAUGUGAUGAUCCCAUUAAGAGAAAAUUGCCCCAUGGCAGUGAGAAGCAGUUCUAGAAGAUGACGCCUCCAUUCCAAAAAAGUUU